GUCAGCAAGAUUGCCCCUUUGUGGAGCAGAAAUUAAAAACAUAUUUUGUGACAACAUGUCCAUUUUUGUUCUGUCCUGUGUAGACACUUCUGUCAAUAACAUUUACGGGACUACUAUCUGGGUGAUAUUUUUUACUUUUACCAUGGUAAUCAUUAUUUAUUGUUAUCUGAAGAUAUUCCUCAUCUGCUUGACAAUUUCCAGCCAUGAACGUCGGAAAUCCUUCCACACAUUGGUGACUCAUCU